AAGGAGCAACCUCUGUUGAUGCAUAUUUCCCUGCUGGAAACUGGUUUGACCUCUUCAAUUACUCUCGCUUCGUGAGUUUGAAUCAAGGAACAUAUCUGACACUUGACGCACCACCAGAUCAUAUAAAUGUACACGUUCGUGAAGGGAACAUAUUGGUCAUGCAAGGGGAAGCAAUGACAACACAAGCUGCACAGAGGACUGCAUUCAAACUCCUUGUCGUGCUGAGCAGCAGCGAAAACAGCACAGGAGAACUAUUUGUGGACGAUGACGAUGAGGUGCAGAUGGGAAGAGAGGGAGGGAGGUGGACGUUCG
rnacentral:misc_RNA from 1 species